GGGGAGUACGACCGCAAGGUUGAAACUCAAAGGAAUUGACGGGGACCCGCACAAGCGGUGGAGCAUGUGGUUUAAUUSGAAGCAACGCGAAGAACCUUACCAAAUCUUGACAUCCUUUGACCRCUCUAGAGAUAGAGUUUUCCCCUUCGGGGGACAAAGUGACAGGUGGUGCAUGGUUGUCGUCAGCUCGUGUCGUGAGAUGUUGGGUUAAGUCCCGCAACGAGCGCAACCCUUAAGCUUAGUUGCCAUCAUUAAGUUGGGCACUCUAAGUUGACUGCCGGUGACAAACCGGAGGAAGGUGGGGAUGACGUCAAAUCAUCAUGCCCCUUAUGAUUUGGGCUACACACGUGCUACAAUGGACAAUACAAAGGGCAGCUAAACCGCGAGGUCAAGCAAAUCCCAUAAAGUUGUUCUCAGUUCGGAUUGUAGUCUGCAACUCGACUACAUGAAGCUGGAAUCGCUAGUAAUCGUAGAUCAGCAUGCUACGGUGAAUACGUUCCCGGGUCUUGUACACACCGCCCGUCACACCACGAGAGUUUGUAACACCCGAAGCCGGUGGAGUAACC
rnacentral:rRNA from 1 species